AUCCGGGGCACUAUCCACUCGCCAUACCGAGACCGGAUACACAAACACACACGGUUCCUGUGUCCCGUUGCUAACUCCCAGCUAGCUUAUGCUAACGUCUGUACAGUUGCUACUUUGGCUGUUUUGGGGCGAACAAACAAACGACCCCCCGCGGUCACAUUCACCGGAAUGACCGGUGCAUUUAUUUGUCUCAUAGCUGCAGAUAUGCAUCCUGGGAAGAAGAGGAAGCUUCUACAGAUCUUCUCUGAGCUGAAGCUCUGAGAUGAGUGCAGAGUUUCCGGACCACAACGGAGAAGUUCCUUCACUCCAUUCAUGCCGCCUUCUCUCCGUACUCACUGUAUACUCAUAGUAUUGUAUGUCAUGAAAUAAUUUAA